rnacentral:tRNA from 1 species
AGGGCUUUAGUUAAAAAUAACAUUUGACUUGCAAUCAAAAAGUACUGAUCCCAGUUUGCCUUC